AACGCACAUUGCGCCCUUUGGUAUUCCGAAGGGCAUGCCUGUUCGAGCGUCAUUUCAAACCUCAAGCUCAGCUUGGUAUUGGGAUGAGUUCCCUCAAGAACUCACCUGAAACUACUUGGAGGUAGUAACCAAAGACCCCAGCGUAGCAAAUGUCAUCGUUAGGUGGUAUCUUGGAUACUUCUCCCUAAAAACCUCUUGAAUUUUGACCUCGGAUCAGGUAGGGAUACCCGCUGAACUUAA
rnacentral:misc_RNA from 1 species